rnacentral:rRNA from 1 species
UGCUUGCACCCAUGAACCGACCGGCGGACGGGUGAGUAACACGUGACUAACCUACCUUCAGGGGGGGGACAACCCGGGGAAACCUGGGCUAAUACCGCAUAAAGUACGGUCGUCGAAUGACGUCCGUAUGAAAGGGGGCCUCUGCUUGCAAGCUCCCACCUGAAGAGGGGGUCGCGGUGUAUCAGCUUGUUGGUGAGGUAACGGCUCACCAAGGCUACGACGCAUAGCGGGUCUGAGAGGACGACCCGUCACAUUGGGACUGAGAUACGGCCCAGACUCCUACGGGAGGCAGCAGUGGGGAAUAUUGCGCAAUGGACGAAAGUCUGACGCAGCGACGCCGCGUGUGGGAGGAAGCCCUUCGGGGCGUAAACCACUGUCAGGGGGGAAGAACACGGUUCACGUGAAUAACGUGGCCGCUGACGGUACCCCCAGAGGAAGCGCCGGCUAACUCCGUGCCAGCAGCCGCGGUAAGACGGAGGGCGCAAGCGUUGUUCGGAAUUACUGGGCGUAAAGCGCGGGCAGGCGGUCUGUUAAGUCUACUGUGAAACUCCGGGGCUCAACUCCGGACAUGCAGUGGAUACUGGCAGUCUAGAGAAUGGUAGAGGCAAGCGGAAUUCCAGGUGUAGCGGUGGAAUGCGUAGAUAUCUGG